UACGUAGGGUCCGAGCGUUGUCCGGAAUUACUGGGCGUAAAGAGCUCGUAGGUGGUUUGUCGCGUUGUUCGUGAAAACUCACAGCUCAACUGUGGGCGUGCGGGCGAUACGGGCAGACUUGAGUACUGCAGGGGAGACUGGAAUUCCUGGUGUAGCGGUGGAAUGCGCAGAUAUCAGGAGGAACACCGGUGGCGAAGGCGGCACUCUGGGCCGAUUCUGACACUGAGGAGCGAAAGCGUGGGGAGCAAACAGG
rnacentral:rRNA from 1 species